rnacentral:lncRNA from 1 species
AUUUUGAUUGCUUUAAGAAACAUAUAGUCAAGCAUACCAUGAACAAUUCAAAUAAUGUUGAUACAAGCGUAAAUGUCGGUGACACAGAUAUACACCAAAGUAUAUCAAGUGACGAAUUCCUCAAUCACGAAGAUGGGGAACUCAACUACUUCGUAAAUUCUUCCGAGAUUAAUGAUCCCAAUUCUGUCCCCCUUUUCAUGAAUCUCAUGUAUAGUGAGGAAACAAAUUGUGCCUCCAAUAAGAAAUCAUUUUGUACAGAAAAUAUUUCGAAACCUGGUGUAAAAACCGAUGUACAAGACAAACAAAUAAAAUGCAACUUAUGCGGAAAAAAAUUCAAAAGUUUAGAAUUAUUUUAUUUACACAGUAAAAUCCACACAGGUUCUACGAUCAACUGUAGCAUAUGCAAUAAAUAUUUUGCAUCAAAACAAUGCCUAAUCACCC